rnacentral:rRNA from 1 species
AGUAAUGCUUGGGAAUCUAGCUCAUGGAGGGGGAUAACUACGGGAAACUGUAGCUAAUACCGCGUAGUAUCGGAAGAUGAAAGUGUGGGACCUUCGGGCCACAUGCCAUAGGAUGAGCCCAAGUGGGAUUAGGUAGUUGGUGAGGUAAAGGCUCACCAAGCCGACGAUCUCUAGCUGGUCUGAGAGGAUGACCAGCCACACUGGGACUGAGACACGGCCCAG